UUGGAUUUGCUUUACGUAUCUUGAUCCGUGUUGAGUAGCAACUCAAGGCUCUAGCACGUUUAAUUCCUCUAUAGUUUUGCAUAUAAAUUUUACUUCCAGAAGUGUUACUUUAUUUCUGUCAUUAUUUAAUUUGUGUUAUUGUUUCAAUAUGACGGCGAAAGUAAAAGUGAAUAACAAGUUAUGGAUUGUCUAUAACUCGCCUUCAACAAUAGGACAACAGUAGGACCAGCUGCAGAAAACUUAAACAGUGAAUUAUCCUACGAGUACGCUAUACGCAUGUGUAGUAGUGAAACUAACGUGAAUGUA